AACGAACGCUGGCGGCAUGCCUAACACAUGCAAGUCGAACGAGACCUUCGGGUCUAGUGGCGCACGGGUGCGUAACGCGUGGGAACCUGCCCUUAGGUUCGGAAUAACUCCCCGAAAGGGGUGCUAAUACCGGAUAAUGUCUUCGGACCAAAGAUUUAUCGCCUUUGGAUGGGCCCGCGUUGGAUUAGCUAGUUGGUAGGGUAAAAGCCUACCAAGGCAACGAUCCAUAGCUGGUCUGAGAGGAUGAUCAGCCACACUGGGACUGAGACACGGCCCAGACUCCUACGGGAGGCAGCAGUGGGGAAUAUUGGACAAUGGACGAAAGCCUGAUCCAGCAAUGCCGCGUGAGUGAUGAAGGCCUUAGGGUUGUAAAGCUCUUUUACCCGGGAUGAUAAUGACAGUACCGGGAGAAUAAGCUCCGGCUAACUCCGUG
rnacentral:rRNA from 1 species